UACAGAGGGUGCGAGCGUUAAUCGGAAUUACUGGGCGUAAAGCGUGCGUAGACGGUAGCGUAAGUCAGAUGUGAAAGCCCCGGGCUCAACCUGGGAAUUGCAUUUGAGACUGCUCUGCUCGGGUGCGGAAGAGGGAAGCGGAAUUUCCGGUGUAGCGGUGAAAUGCGUAGAUAUCGGAAGGAACACCAGUGGCGAAAGCGGCUUCCUGGUCCGACACCGACGUUCAGGCACGAAAGCGUGAGGAGCAAACAGG
rnacentral:rRNA from 1 species